rnacentral:sRNA from 1 species
CCUCGGGUGAAUGGGCUGCUGCCCGGGCUGGACUGUUUGUCUUCCGGAAUGCGCAGUGUUCUGAUUAUUUGAUUAUUCUUUCGGAGUACAUUCAUGAUUCUUGUUGAGCGUAAAUGAGUUAGAGCCGGGAGGAGGCGUCUGCCACUGCUAGUUUGAGGAUUGAUUUUUUUUUUUUUUUUUGAGAAACGGAGAACUGGGAAAGGGGCACGGAUAUAGUGCUUUCUCCGGGCGCUUCAAUUUCUUGAAAUCAUUGAAGUCAAUGAGACGGAGAUCUUGCUGGUUAUUGGAAAAUAGAGUAGCUCAGUUUGAAACCAGCUUGAAUUUGGGUUAAAAAAAUAUAAG